rfam:Myotis davidii contig58485, whole genome shotgun sequence.
GGUGGUUCUUGGGUGAUGCACCCAGGAACUAGAGAGGAGGAAGACUGAUUCUGGUGUGCGUCACCUGAGAACUGCC